GUGGAGCAAUCCAUGAGUAGAGUGGCAAACGGGUGAGUAACGCGUGGGUGACCUGCCUUCGAGUGGGGGAUAACGCUCCGAAAGGGACGCUAAUACCGCAUAACAUCCUGCCUUUUAAGAGGUGGAGAUCAAAGCCUGGGACCGCAAGGCCAGGCGCUCAAAGAGGGGCCCGCGUCUGAUUAGCUAGUUGGUGGGGUAAUGGCUCACCAAGGCUUCGAUCAGUAUCCGGCCUGAGAGGGCGGACGGACACACUGGGACUGAGACACGGCCCAGACUCCUACGGGAGGCAGCAGUGGGGAAUUGUUCGCAAUGGGCGCAAGCCUGACGACGCAACGCCGCGUGGAGGAUGAAGACCUUCGGGUCGUAAACUCCUUUCGAUCGAGACGAACGGCUUCCGGGUGAACAAUCCGGGAGAGUGACGGUACCGAGAGAAGAAGCCCCGGCUAACUCCGUGCCAGCAGCCGCGGUAAUACGGGGGGGGCAAGCGUUGUUCGGAAUUACUGGGCGUAAAGGGCUCGUAGGUGGCCAACUAAGUCAGACGUGAAAUCCCUCGGCUUAACCGGGGAACUGCGUCUGAUACUG
rnacentral:rRNA from 1 species